ACCUGGCUGGCUCCGUUGGUGGAGCAUGUGACUCUUGAUCUUAGAGAUGCGAGUUCAAGUCCCACGUUGGGUG
rnacentral:tRNA from 1 species